UUACAGCGGCCCCGCUUUCGUUUUUGCUAUAUUUGGUAGCUCCUAAUGUUGCCGCACCCUGAUAGCAAACAAAACCCGCAACUCGGUGGAGGUCUGCAGCUUCUCAUCAAGUCAUCACAUUGCGGAUCGGAGCUUAAAAGCACAUCACGCUCACGCCGGUGACGACCAGCAUGCCAGCCAGAACCCCCAUGGAUGCCCCCACCGCCGUCACCGUGGCGUCCCGCGUCGAGCCUUUCCACUGGCACCUGUUGCCAGUGUACCACCAGUCGUCCCCAACGGCACACCUGCAGGGGCACAGAGGCAGCGUGCUGUUAAGCGCGGAGAGGAGAAGCAGAGAGCUCCUCGUGUGGUGAAGCUAGCUUUUGUUUUCGGUUCCAUCCAUAUAUAAAGACGUGUCGGCAGGAGAGUUUUACCUGCAAACCGCCACCUCGCUCUCCAGCACGCAGACGCCAUCAUGUUCACAAUGGACUUCUGAGCAAGGAUCACUGGAACUCGGGGUUGUUUGGAUGGAACUUUGAGUUGAACUUUGAGUCGAACUUUGAGUUGAACUUUCGGUCGAACUCGAAGUUGAAUUUUGGGUUGAAGUUGGUUGGGUGGUCGGUGGCAACGGCUGGGAUACCAGGAGAUCUGACACAUCUUAAAUGGAAAAGGACAGUCAAUUAGAUAAUGCGUAUGUGGCUUGAAUGCAGCAGAGCAGUCAGAUCUAGAAGUUGACACCGGUAGGAUUCACAAACAGGGUCUUGGGAAUGCUGGUUUGGUAGUUCUGAUUUGCAGUCUGAAGUUUCAUGCUUUGAGCUGAGAGUAGUACCCUUUUAUGAUACCUACCUUCGAAUGUGAGUAGGAAAAUGGCAUCACCACCCUUGAUGAAGUUUCUGCUCCUCGCCCUGUCAUGAGUCAGGAACGUAUUGGUUCCCAAGCCUGGACCCGCGUAAUAUGUACUUCCAUCUGAAUCAUUGACCAGAACUCCCACCUUCGCAGGGUCAUCCCAGAAGAACACAAGAUUGCCACUCUCUGAAGGGUGAAUGCUUUGCAUAAAUGAAUGCAGAUUUUUAAACCUUACAUUAGCUUUUGCUGUGUUGCAGAAUGCGGUGCAUUAGUUUCCAUUCCAUUGUGUUUACUCUGCAUUGAAUUCUUUGCGAUAAUUGCAUGAAACACUGUAUUGGAACUUAUAUUAGAAAAGUGCCAGGUAAUUAUUCAGUGUUAAUUAUGAACAU